GAUUUUGUGGGACAAUGCCCAACCACCUGGUCAGGGCUAGGCACUAGUAUUUUUAAAAGCCUCUCAGAUAAUUUUCAUUAUUAUACCCAUCUUCAAGUCAUAGCUUUAGGUCUCAGCUGUAUUGCCAGUUGCUCGAAGAGGCCCUCCUGACCCUUCUAGAAUGUAGAUCUUGUUAUGCUCUUUAACUUAGCUUCUUCUCUGAUUCCUGUGCACUAGUUACUCCAAUGUAUAAUUAUUGCAGUUACUUAAAUAUUUUUAUUGUCUCCCCCACUCUUGGACGUAGGUACUGUGAGGACGGGAAACAUGUCUGUCUUGGUUUCUGUCCUUUUCUUCAGUGCACAGUACCAGGUGCAUAAUAUACGAGUCUGCGACAAUGAAGAUGGCCCACGAAUAAUGGUCUUGGGGGCCUCCCGGAAGCCAGCCGAGGCUCCCUGGACCAUUAUGAGAGAAUUCAUGCCAGUGUUCAGUGGCUGUUUUAACUGGGAAAAUGGUUUAAUACGCUUUCCUUUUACCUGACCCUUGCACCCCAGGAUUCUUUGUGACAGCUUAAAUGGAUCCUGACCCACAGCAUCCCCUCUACGUCCAUGUCUUUCUCCUUCCCUUGCUCUUGACCAUUAUGAGUGAGGAACUGCAUCUCCUUCAUCUUUGUGUCCCCACCCCACCCCAGCACCCAGCACUGGAUUUUGCACACAGUAGGGGCUCUAUAAAUAUUGUUGACUUGAUCCUCACAGCAUGUCGGUGUUUUGACCAAGAUUUCACCCUGGGCAGCAGUGUUGGUGAUUAUUCAGGGAUUCGAGGCCUUGGGCAUUGUGAACACACCAUGAAAGUUAAAUUUGUCAGGUUAGGCACUUUAGCCAUCAUCUAAAAGCAGAUGUCUCUACACCUGGAUUGCGCUGGAGGACAAAACCAGUAAAUUUGUGUCUGAAGGCAAAUAAUGAAACUCUGAGUCUGAAAACAACUCGCAGUCACGUCCCAUACGACACAGGUGCUGGUCCGUAAAAGGGUGAAUGCGUGGCAGGGCUGCCUGAGCUCUUGCUAUGGCAGAGUCUGUUUUUUCCUCAACUAUUAUUCGGUAGUUAUUAAUAAAGAAAAGCAAAGCAAACAACCUACCUCCUGGUUUCCCUCCAUAGUAUGUUCAUUAGGCUGACUUGUAAGUUCUAAGGUGCUUUUUCCGAAGCUUCAGUUAACCACGACCAGUCAGUGGAGUGGACUUUUUCUUCUUUUUUUUUUUUUCUGCUUUAUUUCACAUCCUUAAGAAAUCAUCUUGGUUUCUUACUCUUUCUUUCCUGUUUUAUGUGGGUGAUUUAUUUGCUGGUAGGAAAUGGAGAGACAGGGGAGGAGAAAUGGCCCAGGAGGGUUGAUAUAUUAAACACAAAUCUAGCUACACAGCAAAGGCCUUAGUCUGCCUCUUACCUGGGGAAUUUUCACAUUGUCAUGGAGAGAAACGCACGUGUGCCUUGCGCCCGUCUGUGCACACACACACACACCACGAAACCCCACACAAAUGAAACCCCUUCUUCGGAGAAGCCAGCUACAGGAAACUGACUAUACACAGGAACUCGCUAACCUCUUUUGUCACAUUCGGAUGGUUCCUGGUGCCCCAGUCACCACGCGCGUUCGCCCAACCGUCUUGGGCUGGGAUUUUUACCUGCCUAGCUCUUACAUUUUUUGUUCUUCCAGCGUGAGCCAGUUACACUGUUAGGAAGGAAGGGAAGGUGGAUUUUAGAAGGAAACCGUCACAGUGAAAGAAAGGGCUUGGUUGCUUUUGUUUUGACUUCCCUGGCACUGAACAGCUUUAACAUCCGGAGUCAGUCAUUUUGGUGUCGAGGAUGUCUUUGGCAUUCUACAACAGGUGACUUGGAGGCAGCUGUUGCACAGAUGAGCCAUCAGGAGCCACUAAUCCAGAGCUCUCCUGCCAGGGCCCCAGGCACAGAGAUGGUAAGUUGAGUAAGUGCUGAGACAGAAUGAUUUUCCCUCUAUUGAGAUUAAAUGGCCACACAAAAGUACUUUCCUUUGUUCUGAAUUGGUUUCUGAGGAGAGUGGGAUGACUGAGUCAAGGAUGUGAGCAUGUGGAGAGCUCCUGUUAGCCAUAUUUAUGUUUUAGCAUGCACGGGUGGGAUGCCACUUAAAAAGUUCUAGAGUGUUUUACACACGCGAGGCUCUUCAUCAUUACACCAGGGGAGUCCAAAAAAAGGAAUUUGCUUUCAAUAAAGAAAGUGCCAAAUCACCCUCCUAAUUCCUCUUUUCCAGUAAAACAAUACCAAUGAAUUACUUUGGGGAGAGAAUUUCAAAACAUUACGGAAUGCUCAAUUGCUUCUUAGAGCCUUGUUAUCGCUACACUUAGCUUCUUGCAAAAAUGAAGUCAGCAGUGACCUCUUCCCUGUUUCGUAGAAAAGAACACCCAGGAAGACAGUGGUUAAGUAACAUGUAAUAG